rnacentral:lncRNA from 10 species
UUUUGUAUUUUUAGUAGAGACAGGGUUUCUCCAAGUUGGUCAGGCUGGUCUCGAACUCCGACCUCAGCAAUCUGCCCACCUCAGCCUCCCAAAGUGCUGGAACUACAGGCAAGAGCCACUGCGCCCAGCCACAACCUCAGAUUUCUUUGGCAAACAGAAAUGUUUAAAAACACAAAAUUUUGCUCAGGUGAAACACUGUGUUACUAUCAAAUCUCACAUCCACAUAAAGUUUUUCUUUUCGGCUUUGUUUCGUGAGGAACAGACAGAACAAAGUUUUUCCAGGUAGCAUCUGUAUCACUAUUAUUCUCCUAUUUCCUGUACCACCCCCACCUCCCCAAGCCCUACUGAAUGUGAGGUUUAGAAUGUUUUAAGGAGGGUCAGGUGCGGUGGCUCACGCCUGUAAUCCCAGCACUUUGGGAGGCCAAGGCGGGCGGAUCACCUGAGUUUGGGAGUUCGAGACCAGCCUGACCAACAUGGAGAAACCCUGUCUCUACUAAAAAUACAAAAUUAGCCAGGCGUGGUGGCACAUGCCUGUAAUCCCAGCUACUUAGGAGGCUGAGGCAGGAGAAUCGCUUGAACCCAGGAGGAGGAGGUUGUGGUGAGCCGAGAUCGUGCCAUUGCACUCCAGCCUGGGUGACAGAGUGAGACUCCAUCUCGAAAAAAAAAAUACAAAAAUUAGCUGGGUGUGGUGGUGCACACCUGUAAUCCCAGCUACUCGGGAGGCUGACGCAGGAGAAUUGCUUGAACCUGGGAGGUGGAGGUUGCAGUGAGCCGAGAUCGCGCCAUUGCAAUCCAGCCUGGACAACAGAGUGAGACUCCAUCUCA